rnacentral:lncRNA from 1 species
AUUUAAUUGCACUGUGUUUUAGGGUUAAUGGAAUUUCUCCUUGCACUGCUAUGCUUUAUAUUUCUAUGCUUCUGUUAAAAGAUUAACAAAUGCGGAAGGGUAAAUAAGUAUUUAAGGUUGUCUUUUAACCUGCAUGACGGUUCAUUUCUCCUUGCUUGGAUUCAGAUCCUCUUCACAUUGAGGUGAAAUGGCAGAAGUCACCGUGAGCAGUUUGACUGCAGACACUUCAUCAUCUGGGCAGACUAGAAAUGGCCACGUCUUCCAAAGGAUGGAGCUGCGAAACAGAGGACAGCGGAGAAGAGAGCCGGAGGAAACGAGACACGCUCGCCUUCCCGACGGACAGAAGUCACUACGAGACGCCCGUUCAGCUGAGCAUCUCAGGUCAGAGCGUGUGAUGCAUCUGAGCAUUGGUUUGGAUCUGUGCGGUGCGGUUCAGACGUGAUGUGCGUGGGUGGCUCAGAUGAGAUUCUCUUUGAGAGUACUUCAAAAUCUCAAAAAAUCAUUGUGAUUGUUGCCCGAGGUGUAGACGGAUCCCGGUAGUCUCAAACCUCCUCCACGCUGCAAAUGCCUAUCAGAAAUUCUCUGUUUACUUCGGGCACUAAAAGCAAUCAGUAUUGUUUUCAUAUUUGGACUGAUGUGUUUACAGCAUUGGGGAAGCAGGCUAUGCCAGCUCUUAUUCCUAAGUGACUGCGGUGUCAGGGUUCAGGGACCACAAUGCACUUCUGACGUGUCUGCGCUGCAGACUUGGAGACUCUUUGACUAUUUAUAACCAGCGAGACAUAAUACAAAGAGUUCAGGGCUCUGAGAUAAUGAAGGAAAACACAUCUUCUGGGAGCCCUGGCUCAGUGGUCUGUCCUUCAAACUCAUGCAACCAUGUAACAGCACAAGGGUUUUAACAAUUUAUGGGUUUUUUCCUCCUAUGAAUAGACCCUGAUGCUUCUGGAUUUGGCCUUCUACAUACAUUAAGAAGAGUAAGCCUUUGUUAAGGCUCUUUUAUAAUUCACAUCUGUUGUUUAAUUGAUAUAUUUAUGGCUGGGCAUACUCAUUUGUGCAUUUCUCUCAUUUUCAUGCUCUUAAAUUAUGAGCUGGAAUUCAUAAACAUUAUAAAUGUGCACUAAUAAUUCAGAAUUUUUAUUUACUGUUUUUGAAAGAAGUCUUAUA